GACGAACGCUGGCGGCGUGCUUAACACAUGCAAGUCGAACGAUGAAGCCUAGCUUGCUAGGUGGAUUAGUGGCGAACGGGUGAGUAAUACGCGAGUGACCUACCUUUGACUCUGGGAUAAGCCUGGGAAACUGGGUCUAAUACCGGAUACGACCAAUCUCUGCAUGGGGUGUUGGUGGAAAGCGUUAUGGAGUGGUUUUAGAUGGGCUCACGGCCUAUCAGCUUGUUGGUGAGGUAAUGGCUUACCAAGGCGACGACGGGUAGCCGGCCUGAGAGGGUGACCGGCCACACUGGGACUGAGACACGGCCCAGACUCCUACGGGAGGCAGCAGUGGGGAAUAUUGCACAAUGGGCGCAAGCCUGAUGCAGCGACGCCGCGUGAGGGAUGACGGCCUUCGGGUUGUAAACCUCUGUUAGCAUCGAAGAAGCGAAAGUGACGGUAGGUGCAGAGAAAGCGCCGGCUAACUACGUGCCAGCAGCCGCGGUAAUACGUAGGGCGCGAGCGUUGUCCGGAAUUAUUGGGCGUAAAGAGCUUGUAGGCGGUUGGUCGCGUCUGCUGUGAAGGCCGGGGCUUAACUCCGGUUUUGCAGUGGGUACGGGCUAACUAGAGUGCAGUAGGGGAGACUGGAAUUCCUGGUGUAGCGGUGGAAUGCACAGAUAUCAGGAGGAACACCGAUGGCGAAGGCAGGUCUCUGGGCUGUAACUGACGCUGAGAAGCGAAAGCAUGGGGAGCGAACAGGAUUAGAUACCCUGGUAGUCCAUGCCGUAAACGUUGGGCACUAGGUGUGGGGGACAUUCCACGUUUUCCGCGCCGUAGCUAACGCAUUAAGUGCCCCGCCUGGGGAGUACGGCCGCAAGGCUAAAACUCAAAGGAAUUGACGGGGGCCCGCACAAGCGGCGGAGCAUGCGGAUUAAUUCGAUGCAACGCGAAGAACCUUACCAAGGCUUGACAUGCAUUAGAUCGCGUCAGAGAUGGCGUUUCCCUUCGGGGCUGGUGUACAGGUGGUGCAUGGUUGUCGUCAGCUCGUGUCGUGAGAUGUUGGGUUAAGUCCCGCAACGAGCGCAACCCUCGUUCUAUGUUGCCAGCGGUUCGGCCGGGGACUCAUAGGAGACUGCCGGGGUUAACUCGGAGGAAGGUGGGGAUGACGUCAAAUCAUCAUGCCCCUUAUGUCUUGGGCUUCACGCAUGCUACAAUGGCCGGUACAGAGGGUUGCGAUACUGUGAGGUGGGGCUAAUCCCUUAAAGCCGGUCUCAGUUCGGAUUGGGGUCUGCAACUCGACCCCAUGAAGUCGGAGUCGCUAGUAAUCGCAGAUCAGCAACGCUGCGGUGAAUACGUUCCCGGGCCU
rnacentral:rRNA from 1 species